CCAACGGAACAAGUUACCCUAGGGAUAACAGCGCAAUCCUGUUCUAGAGUCCAUAUCAACAACAGGGUUUACGACCUCGAUGUUGGAUCAGGACAUCCCAAUGGUGCAGCCGCUAUUAAAGGUUCGUUUGUUCAACGAUUAAAGUCCUACGUGAUCUGAGUUCAGACCGGAGCAAUCCAGGUCGGU
rnacentral:ncRNA from 1 species